rnacentral:ncRNA from 1 species
CUUGUGGACUAUCAAAACAACUGUAGUAGUGAACUUUUUGGCGAGGCAGGAUAGGAAGAAGCAAGAA